GUUUUGGCACGGGAGGCGAGUCACUCAGAGGGAGGACUGGUGAAGCUGGUGAACCUGGGUGCCCUGGCCUUGGCUCCUGCACCCUCUAGGUGCCUUAAGUGUCUCAACUUGGGAAGGACAGAAGCCAGAGAGGCUGCCAACACGCUCCUGCGCAUGGGCAGCACUACAGCAGUCUGCGCCCCUACUACAGAUGCUGCAGGUGUCACCAAUGCUGGGUAACACUGGGCCUCUGUGAGGCUGGCUGCUGUCAUCUGGGGCCUGGUUGGGGCUCUGACCACCUACGGAAGGGAGCUUACUUCCUUGCUGUGUUUUCGUUCUGUAUCUUCGUUCUUUCAUCUAUACCCAGCUUCCUGCAAACUGUAACUGACGAGUAACACUUCCUAAAGUCUGCAAAGAUGAGGGGCUUUUUUCCUCCUCUUCUAUCUCCAGCUUCUUCCAUAAAUGCUUGGACUCUAGCAAGAUUUAGUAAAUAUGUGUUUUAUUAAUGAAUGAAAGGAUUUAGCUUUCUGUACUGAUUGAGCCUCUAGGGCAUGCCAGCACUUGUUUUCCUCUCAGAGAUGAGGCUGCUGGUGCUUGCCUUUCUUUUUCCUCCUUCUCCUCCUGCAGAGUUAAGGGAAAUCUCUGAAGCACUGCAGUCUUAAAGUCUGAGGAAUGGGGAAGAGGAAAGACUCAUGGAAAAUAAAAGAGCUAAAUGGGGAAGGGUGAAGUCGGGGAGUCUAUAUAUGAUAUUUUAUAUAUGUAUAUGUAUAUAUAUAUAUAAUUAUAUAUAUUUUGGAGAUUAUAUAUAAUCUCCCAACAGCACUAUGCUACUGAACUACAUCCCCAGCCUUUUUUUUAAAUUUUGAGACAGGAUCUUGCUAAGUUGCUCAGACUAGCUUUGAACUUGAGAUCCUCCUGCCUCAGCCUUCCUAGUACCUGAGAUUAUAGGCAUGUGUCACUAUCCCCCAUGUCUCAGUUGCUUUCUCAUUGCUGGGACCUAAUACCCGACACCCACAAUUUAAGGAAGGAGAGGUUUAUUUUGGCUCAUAGUCUAUAGAAGUUUCAGUCCACAGCUGACACCAAGGCAGGUGGGCAUGGAAGAGGGGCAUCACAGAGGAGAAACAGUCCAUGGCAUGGCAGGCAGGAAGCAGAGAGGGAUCAAGGGACGGGGAGAGAGAGACUCUUCCAGACCACACUCCCAGUGACCAACCUCCUUCAAUCAGGCUUUACCUUCCAAUAUCACAUUUUUUUUUAAUUUUAGGGGGACUUUUUUUGACUUAAGGUCUCACUAUAUAGUUCAGGCUAGCUUUUAAUUCACUAUGUAGCCAAGACUGGCCUCAGACUCAUGGGAAUCCUCCUGCCUCAGCCUCCCAAGUGCUGGGAUUACAGGUGUGUGCCACCAUGCCUGGCUCCCCAACAACACAUUUAUCUGUAAACUCAUCCAUUGCUGAGAAUUAUGCCUCCAUGAUCCAGUCACUCUCCAAGACCCCAACCUAUGAGUGCAUGAGGCUUUGGGGGACGUCCAGACAAAAAUGAUAACACCCCAGGUCAACAUUUUUGAGUGAGAAGGAAAGGAUCCAUUAUUGGGUAGAUGCAGGGCAAACUAAUGUGCUCCUAUUCACAAUUCUGCCACGAAGAUACUAAAUCCUGGUACUGUGAAGCCCCCAUACCUAAGGCUGCAAAGCCAGGGGCAGAGUUGAGGGUAAAUGAAGAGCUGGUUCCCAGGCACUUCCGAGGAGUCGGCUGGCUUGUUCUACCCCUGUUACCAAAUUCUUUGGGGAGACCCGAUAAGAUGGACCCUGCCCUCCAAGAGUGUCUGAACUGGCCAGGGGCAGGUGGAGGCAGACACACACAUCAGCACAUUAAAGUCAACAGGUGUGACUGCUUGCAGCUUGGAGGCACAAGUGCCACUUUUCUGUAAUCAAGCUAAUUGUUCGAACACGCUCAAACCAAAUUAGCAGGUAUUCCAGUAUUGUGGUUGCUUUCAGCAGCCUAUUUAAGCUAAUUUUUCUUUUAGACAGUCUUGCUACAUAGGUCAGGCUAGACUUGAAUUCACUGUAUGGCCCAGGCUGGCCUUGAAAGUCACAACAAUUCUCCUGCUUCAGCUUCCUGAGUGCUGGAAUUACAGGUGAUCUACUCAUAACAUCAGAACCCUGCUGAUCCAGUUACCUCCUGCCUCUGAACAUGGUUGCACUGGGGACCAAACCUUCAACCCUUGACCUCUGUGGGACACUCAGGAUGCAAACAGUUGGAUGCGGACUGUCUGGAAGAUGGCCUGCAUGUGUUACCUUUUCUGUAGCACUUGGUUUGUGCUUAGCAAAUGUCUCCUAAAUGCCAGUAGACACUGGAGAUGAAAGGAGAAGGAAAACAGAGCCUCUGACUCAUACCUCGCUGUCCGGCUGGUGGGCACCCUCGCUGUGUUACCUUACGAGACAGCAACACACUCCCAUGCUCUGCCUGGGUUGGCCCCUACAUCCAGAGCAGCUUAGUUCUUGUAGGUGUGUGGACCUGAAGUGCCCCUUGCUUUGGGCUGGGUGGCCUUGGCUCCUGUCCUUGCACUCACGUGUCCUGUCUAAGCAGGGAUUUUGCACAAGAUGGCAGUUAGUGUACAAAGGAGCAGAGCGUGUCCUUGCUUGCUAUUGUCACUAGUUCUCAUUUAACCAGCAAGUCCUUUAAAUCGGGAGCACUACUGGAUCAUCAGGAAUUCAAAGCCAUCUGAGCUACAUGGGUACAUAAGGAGACUACAUCCCAAAAAAACAAACAGAAACAAAACCAAAUCUGCAAGUCUGUUUUUGCGCACUGUCCCAAAUGUGAAGCCUCCUUUACUUUAUCAGUCUUCUGGGUCUACUCACUGAUGUCCUUGAGGUAACUGUAACCCUGCAGAGGGCAAACCGGUCACAUCUUGUUGGGGGAGAGAGGAGGUCGUGAUAUUUUCAAGUCUGAGAUGCAGUGUGAACAUCUAUUGUUUCAAAGCAAAGGGAGAGCGGAGAGUGGUGUGCCGGAGAAAGGGGAAAAGGUUUGAUAGGGUACUAAGAAUAGCGUGGGAGGGAUGCCAGCCCCAGCCCUGGGCCUUCACAGACAGAGGAGGUCACACGUAUUGUCUAUUGUUCCCACGACCCUGCUGCUUGGGCUGAGAGCUGAUUUUCGCUUCAUUUCUCACAGUCCACAUUAUUACUUCUGAAUCAGAUUUUGUUUUUAGCUCCCAACAAGAAAGACGUUCACACACUAAGAGUGGCUGAGAAUGUCUCAGCCAGCAGCGGAAUCUCCUUCCACAGCACUGUGCGGCCCUCGGCUGUCAUUGUUCACGUCCGCAAUCACGUCGCUAAUCACGUUGCUCUUCCUGUCCUGACUUGGGACCUGCACCUGCUACUUGGCAAGCCUUUCACUUCCUUUGGCUUGGGCAUCCUCUUCUGUUUCUUUUCCCAUGCUAUUUGUAAACCUGAAAUGCAUUACUGGAUCCUUCCCAGUCAGAGGGACUUGCAGAUCUCCCACACUUCAAGGGGACGCUCAGGGGGAUUUCUUGUUCUUAUCAGCCAAGUGGAUUUCCAGCCUUCCUUUAAAUUAUCCCGAUUCUCAAUUGUAUUAUGUAUGACGAAGUAAACAGCCACUUUGAAGAAAAACAGACAUUAUGGUAUCCAUUGCUGAUUUCCUAUCGUCAUGCUGUGAAAUCAGUAAUAUUUUUAUUCUUUGUUUAGAGUGGCUUUUAGUCUGUUUUGUAUUGUUUGAUUUCAACAUAUGUGAAGGUAUGGACAGCUAUUUUGAAGAGAACAAGAGACAUUAUUCCAGCCAUUGUCUGCCUUUGAAGGCCUAUAAUGCCUUCAUCACUGUGUUCUGAUCACUUUUAUACUAUUUUGUUUUGUAUGAAUUCAUUGUAUAUGAAGAUAUAGACAACUAUUUAGAAUAAAACAAGAGACAAUAUGAUAGGGAGUGAUGAUCUCCUGUUGUCAUGUUUUGAAAUCUAUGUCACAUUGUUUUCUUUUGAUCUGCUUUGUUCUGUUUUGUUAUGUCUUGUUUUACACUCUUUAAAAUAAAAAAAUAAUUAAAAAAUAAA